AUUGAACGCUGGCGGCAGGCCUAACACAUGCAAGUCGAGCGGAUGACGGGAGCUUGCUCCUUGAUUCAGCGGCGGACGGGUGAGUAAUGCCUAGGAAUCUGCCUGGUAGUGGGGGACAACGUUUCGAAAGGAACGCUAAUACCGCAUACGUCCUACGGGAGAAAGCAGGGGACCUUCGGGCCUUGCGCUAUCAGAUGAGCCUAGGUCGGAUUAGCUAGGUGGUGGGGUAAUGGCUCACCAAGGCGACGAUCCGUAACUGGUCUGAGAGGAUGAUCAGUAACACUGGAACUGAGACACGGUCCAGACUCCUACGGGAGGCAGCAGUGGGGAAUAUUGGACAAUGGGAGAAAGCCUGAUCCAGCCAUGCCGCGUGUGUGAAGAAGGUCUUCGGAUUGUAAAGCACUUUAAGUUGGGAGGAAGGGCAGUAAGUUAAUACCUUGCUGUUUUGACGUUACCGACAGAAGAAGCACCGGCUAACUCUGUGCCAGCCGCCGCCGUAAAAC
rnacentral:rRNA from 1 species